rnacentral:rRNA from 1 species
AGCAGUAGCCGCGGGAAUACGUAGGGUGCAAGCGUUAAUCGGAAUUACUGGGCGUAAAGCGUACGCAGGCGGUUUGUUAAGUCAGAUGUGAAAUCCCCGAGCUUAACUCGGGAACUGCAUUUGAAACUGGCAAGCUAGAGUCUCGUAGAGGGGGGUAGAAUUCCAGGUGUAGCGGUGAAAUGCGUAGAGAUCUGGAGGAAUACCGGUGGCGAAGGCGGCCCCCUGGACAAAGACUGACGCUCAGGUGCGAAAGCGUGGGGAGCAAACAGGAUUAGAUACCCGAGUAGUCCCUGUCUCUUAUAC